rnacentral:lncRNA from 1 species
GACUGGGAUAGAAAGAAAUUGCUCACUGCCUGUCAUAGGCAGUCAUUGCCCAGCAGAUCUGGUGGUGCUGAAAGCUGUGCCCUCCUGGAGCACUAUGGCAGUCACCACUUUCCUGGCGAUGCCUCCACUGAACAAAUCUAUGAAAACUACCGACAGAUUCACACAACUGCUAAAUGGAGUGAAGUCAGUGGAAGAGACUUGACAAGUUGGUGGCAAUGCUGUAAAUUAAAACCUGCAGGCAGUGAAUCCUGUCAAUUCUCUGUGGCUAGAAUGGUGAUUGCUUUUCAACAUCAAGCAGUGUAUUUAGCAGUACUUACUGACAACAGAUGGCAAAGUAACAAUCGAGUAUCCACCACUUGAGAAAAUGACCGGGUAUCAACUAUGGGAUAAAAUCCAUCUAAAAGAAAAUGGGACAUCCAAAAGAUGGGACCUUCAGCAGUUACAACAAGCUCCUAAAUGUCUUUCCAGAAAGAUUAAACUGAAUCUAUUCACAAUCUGACAUGAGUUACAUGUGAGUCAGUCCAAGUUAUCUGCAGCACUGAUGGAUGCCACCUCCACUUUACUGAAGUCAAUAAAGAAAACAAAAUAGAAAGGAA